rnacentral:rRNA from 1 species
GCAGGCGGUUAUGUAAGACAGAUGUGAAAUGCCCGGGCUUAACCUGGGAACUGCAUUUGUGACUGCAUGGCUAGAGUUUGGCAGAGGGGGGGUAGAAUUCCACGUGUAGCAGUGAAAUGCGUAGAUAUGUGGAGGAACACCGAUGGCGAAGGCAGCCCCCUGGGUCAAGACUGACGCUCAUGCACGAAAGCGUGGGGAGCAAACAGGAUUAGAUACCCUGGUAGUCCACGCCCUAAACGAUGUCUACUAGUUGUCGGGUCUUAAUUGACUUGGUAACGCAGCUAACGCGUGAAGUAGACCGCCUGGGGAGUACGGUCGCAAGAUUAAAACUCAAAGGAAUUGACGGGGACCCGCACAAGCGGUGGAUGAUGUGGAUUAAUUCGAUGCAACGCGAAAAACCUUACCUACCCUUGACAUGGCUGGAAUCCCUGAGAGAUUGGGGAGUGCUCGAAAGAGAACCAGUACACAGGUGCUGCAUGGCUGUCGUCAGCUCGUG